rnacentral:tRNA from 1 species
UAGCGUACAACGGAAAAUGCGUCCCGCUUAAGGCGGGAAGGUCGCAGGUUCGAAUCCUGC